rnacentral:rRNA from 1 species
GAUGAACGCUGGCGGCGUGCCUAAUACAUGCAAGUCGAGCGAACAGACGAGGAGCUUGCUCCUCUGACGUUAGCGGCGGACGGGUGAGUAACACGUGGAUCACCUACCUAUAAGACUGGUAUAACUUCGGGAAACCGGAGCUAAUACCGGAUAAGAUAUUGAACCACAUGGUUCAAUGGUGAAAGUCGGUGUUUCUGUAACUACUAGAUGGAUACGCGCUGCAUUGGCUAGUUGGUAGGGUAAAGGCUUACCACGGCAACGAUGCGUAGCCGACCGGUGAGGGUGAUCGGCCGCACUGGAGCUGAAACGCGGACCAUGCUCCUGCGAGAGGCAGCAGUAGGGAACGUGCCGCAGUGGGCGAGAGCCUGACGGAACGACGGGGAGUGAGAGAUGGAGGUCUUGGGAUCGUGAAAAUGUGUUAUUAGGGAAAAACAGAUGUGUAAGUAACUAAGCACGUCUUGACGGUAACUGAUAAGAAAGCCACGGCUAACUACGUG